GACGAACGCUGGCGGCGUGCUUAACACAUGCAAGUCGAACGGAAAGGCCCUGCUUUUGUGGGGUGCUCGAGUGGCGAAAGGGUGAGUAACACGUGAGUAACCUGCCCUUGAAUUUGGGAUAACUUCAGGAAACUGGGGCUAAUACCGGAUAGGAGCUCCUGCUGCAUGGUGGGGGUUGGAAAGUUUCGGCGGUUGGGGAUGGACUCGCGGCUUAUCAGCUUGUUGGUGGGGUAGUGGCUUACCAAGGCUUUGACGGGUAGCCGGCCUGAGAGGGUAACCGGCCACAUUGGGACUGAGAGACGGCCCAGACUCCUACGGGAGGCAGCAGUGGGGAAUAUUGCACAAUGGGCGGAAGCCUGAUGCAGCAACGCCGCGUGCGGGAUGACGGCCUUCGGGUUGUAAACCGCUUUCGCCUGUGACGAAGCGUGAGUGACGGUAAUGGGUAAAGAAGCACCGGCUAACUACGUG
rnacentral:rRNA from 1 species